AUGGGUCCCGCUGACAUUCAAUGGGGUUACACCGACAGUAGUCGGCCCCCAGCAGGCUCUGGUGAUGGAACAAGAAGUGAAUACCCUAUUAAGGAAGGCGGCCAUCGAGGUGGUCCCUCCUCUAGACAGGGAAUCCGGGUUUUACAGCCGGUAUUUCAUAGUUCCAAAGAAGGAUGGUGGAGGUUGCGUCCGAUCUUUGACUUACGUCAUCCAAACCUCUCAGUUAUGUCACUGAAGUUUAAGAUGCUCACUGUCAAACAGGAUGUAGCCCAAAUCAGAUCCGAGGACUGGUUUGUCGCAAUAGAUCUCAAAGACGCAUACUUCCACAAUUCCAUCCUUCCACAACACAGGAAGUCUCUAAGGGUCGCUUUCAGGGGCAAAGCCUACCAAUAUCGAGCACUUCCCUUCGGCCUUGCACUCUCACCCCGCAAAAUGUGUAGAUGCGGCUCUGGUAUCCCUCCGUACGCAGGGCAUCCGCAUUCUAAAUUGUAUCGACAAUUGGUUGAUUCUAGCUCAAUUAGAGCAGAUGGCGGUUCGACAUCGAGGUGUCGUUCUCGCCCAUAUGGGGGAGCUGGGUUUGAGACUGAAUGCCAAGAAGAGUGUACUUUCUCCAGUUCAGAGAACCACCUAUCUAGGCGUAGUAUGGAAUUCGACCACGAUGCAGGCACGUAUGUCUCCUGCUCGGAUCGAGUCGAUCCUCACAUCAGUCAAGAGAGUCAAAGAUGGCCAGUCACUCACUGUCAAGCAGUCUCAGAGACUGCUAGGGCUCAUGGCAGCUGCGUCCAACGGGAUACCUUUUGGCCUGCUGCACAUGAGGCCCCUACAGUGGUGGCUCAAGACCAAGGGGUUUUCCCCGAGGGGAAAUCCUUUCCGAACUAUUCAGGUCACGCGGCGAUGCCUUCGUGCCUUAGACAUAUGGAAGAAACCUUGGGUCUUGAAUCAGGGCCCGGUGUUGGGAGCUCUUGGUCGCCGUGUAACGCUAGCGACAGACGUGUCCCUCACCGGUUACGGUGCGGUCAUGAGUGGCCACCCUGCCCGCGGUCUGUGGAGCGGUCGCCAUCUGACAUGGCAUACCAGUUGUCUAAAGAUGCUAGCUGUGCAUCGAGCAUUGAAAUAUUUCCUCCCAGACCUGAGAGGUCACCAUGUGUUGGGGCGCACCGACAACACAUUGGCGAUCUCUUAUAUCAGUCACCAGAGAGAUCGGCAUCCAUGCCCCUUGUACGAGCUGGCACAUCAGAUCCUUCUGUUGUCCCAGGACAAACUCCUCUUGUCCAGAGCAGUGUAUAUUCCUGGGAGAUUGACUGUGGGAGCAGACAUACUGUCGAGACAGGGGCCGAGACCCGGGGGCUUCACCCCAAAGUGGUGAAGUAG
rnacentral:lncRNA from 1 species